rnacentral:rRNA from 1 species
UACGAAGGGGGCUAACGUUGCUCGGAAUCACUGGGCGUAAAGGGUGCGUAGGCGGGUCUUUUAAGUCAGGGGUGAAAUCCUGGAGCUCAACUCCAGAACUGCCUUUGAUACUGAAGAUCUUGAGUUCGGGAGAGGUGAGUGGAACUGCGAGUGUAGAGGUGAAAUUCGUAGAUAUUCGCAAGAACACCAGUGGCGAAGGCGGCUCACUGGCCCGAUACUGACGCUGAGGCACGAAAGCGUGGGGAGCAAACAGGG